GAUGAACGCUGGCGGCGUGCCUUAGGCAUGCAAGUCGAACGGGAAGUCUUCGGACUUCUAGUGGCGGAAGGGUGAGUAACGCGUGGGAACGUACCUAUUGGUGGAGAAUAGCUCGCCGAAAGGCGGGAUAAUUCUGCAUAAGACCGCAAGGUGAAAGGGCUUAACAGCCCGCCGAUAGAGCGGCCUGCGUCCUAUCAGCUUGUUGGUGAGGUAAAGGCCUACCAAGGCGACGAUCUGUAGCCGGUCUGAGAGGAUGAUCCGCCACACUGGGACUGAGACACGGCCCAGACUCCUACGGGAGGCAGCAGUGGGGAAUAUUGGACAAUGGGGGGAACCCUGAUCCAGCCAUGCCGCGUGUGAAGAAGGCCUUAUGGUUGUAAAGCACUUUAAGCGAGGAGGAGGCUCUUUUGGUUAAUACCCAGAAUGAGUGGACGUUACUCGCAGAAUAAGCACCGGCUAACUCUGUGCCAGCCGCCGCCGUAA
rnacentral:rRNA from 1 species